AGGCCUGUAGCUCUAACUGGCAGAGCAACGGUCUCCAAAACCGUGGGUUGUAGGUUCGAAUCCUACCAGGCCUGCUA
rnacentral:tRNA from 1 species